AAAAGGAUUUGCUUAUUGCACCACAUGUGUUUUUCUUUGAAACAAACUUGCUUUGGCGGUGGGCCCAGCCUGCCGCCAGAGGUCUAAACUUGCAACCAAUUUUUUAUCAACUUGUCACACCAGAUUAUUACUAAUAGUCAAAACUUUCAACAACGGAUCUCUUGGUUCUCGCAUCGAUGAAGAACGCAGCGAAAUGCGAUACGUAAUAUGAAUUGCAGAUAUUCGUGAAUCAUCGAAUCUUUGAACGCACAUUGCGCCCUCUGGUAUUCCGGAGGGCAUGCCUGUUUGAGCGUCGUUUCUCCCUCAAACCGCUGGGUUUGGUGUUGAGCAAUACGACUUGGGUUUGCUUGAAAGACGGUAGUGGUAAGGCGGGAUCGCUUUGACAAUGGCUUAGGUCUAACCAAAAACAUUGCUUGCGGCGGUAACGUCUACCACGUAUAUCUUCAAACUUUGACCUCAAAUCAGGUAGGACUACCCGCUGAACUUAAGCAUAUCAAUAAGGCGGAGGAA
rnacentral:rRNA from 1 species